GACGAACGCUGGCGGCGUGCCUAACACAUGCAAGUCGAACGGAAAGGCCCUGCUUUUGUGGGGUGCUCGAGUGGCGAACGGGUGAGUAACACGUGAGUAACCUGCCCUUGACUUUGGGAUAACUUCAGGAAACUGGGGCUAAUACCGGAUAGGAGCUCCUGCUGCAUGGUGGGGGUUGGAAAGUUUCGGCGGUUGGGGAUGGACUCGCGGCUUAUCAGCUUGUGGGUGGGGUAGUGGCUUACCAAGGCUUUGACGGGUAGCCGGCCUGAGAGGGUGACCGGCCACAUUGGGACUGAGAUACGGCCCAGACGCCUACGGGAGGCAGCAGUGGGGAAUAUUGCACAAUGGGCGGAAGCCUGAUGCAGCAACGCCGCGUGCGGGAUGACGGCCUUCGGGUUGUAAACCGCUUUCGCCUGUGACGAAGCGUGAGUGACGGUAAUGGGUAAAGAAGCACCGGCUAACUACGUG
rnacentral:rRNA from 1 species